rnacentral:lncRNA from 1 species
GCCCGAGGUUGGAGAUGUUGGGGAAAGUAGUUCCAACCAUCCCUUGCCGGGGGGGGCAGCCAGGGACACGCAAGAAGGGUGGCCUGUGGCCCCAGCUCAAACCCAGAAGAUCACAGGUGGCACAGGGAAGCCAAGUGACCAGAUAGGCUGAUAUUGUCCAGAGUACCUGCAGUUUCUAAAUGUUACAUUUGCUUGUUAAGUCUCCCUUGAUAUGCUUUUUAAGGGGGUCUCAUCCUCCUGGAAAAUGUUCCUAUAUUUUUUCAUAUCUAGAUGCAAGCAAAAUUUUGUAAUAACUUUAAAUGGCAUAUACUCUAGAUUUUUUUUUUUUUUUCUCUUUAGGGCCAAACGUGCAGCACAUGGAAGUUCCAGAAUAGGGAUCAAAUCAGACCUGCAGCUGAUGGCCUAUGCCACAGGCAGAUCCUUAACCCUCUGGGUGAGGCCAGGGAUUGAACCCGCAUCCUCAUGGAUACUAGUUGGGUUCGUUACCGCUGAGCCACAAUAGAAACUCCAUAGAAAAAUAUUGAAUCGCUAUGCUAUACACCUGAAACUAAUAUAAUACUGUAAAUCAGCUAUACUUCAGUUAAAAAACAAAAACAAAAACUUGCCAAGCUGUUUCCAAAGCGUUUCUGCCAUUUUAACCCCCACCAGCAGGAAGAAGAGGCCUUGAUGAAAAUUGUGGGGACAAAACAUUAGUGCUGGAAAAGACCUUGGUGACGCUCAUCCAAACUCCUGAUCCCCUGAAGCCCCGGAAGUGACUCAGGGAAUCUAUUGAGCUGGUCGAUUUGCAAAUUAUGUGCCUAAGACUUGGCCAUACAUAACCCCGAGGUAAGAACAAAUACACCAUCCGGAAAAAUCUUGACGUAUCUGGGGCUACCCAACAGGACACACUACCCUAAAGGGGUGCCCUGAAGAUCCCCCCCAAAAAAACUCUGAACAGCAGGUACAGCAUUUUCAUAAGCGGAUGGUGUUCCGAGCUGACCUUGGAAGGCAGCCCCCAUGUUGUCCACCUGCUCUGUACCUUUCCAUUCCUGCCUCUUCAUAACUUGCCUGGUCAUGACCCCAGCUCUACCUCCUGGCUCCUUGUAUCCUUUCAAGGAACAUGUGGAACUCUGGCUGUUCUGGGAGUCUUCUCUCUGCAUCUUUUCAGAUAUUAAUGUCGCUGCUGAUCUGACUUGGUUUCACAGUUCAGAUUUCGGAUGAGCACCUCCCGUGUUUUUUGAGGUAGACCUCAAGACUACAGAGACAUUGGCUUGUCCGUGGAUUGGUCAUUGACUAGUGAUCCAAGGUGUUAUGGCCGUGGAGAGGGGCUGUGUUCCUUUAAAUGUGGUUGCUUGAGGUGCUGUGGGUGGGGAAGGCUCUGGAACGGAUAACUCCAGCAGUGUUGUAUGAGGGGGGAGGAGGACCGUAUAUCCAAUGCUUUCCCCCAAUUUACAAAGCAUCCAACCUCUUUGCAAAGAAGCUAUAUAAUCACUUCUGGGCAGAGGGACCAAUCAAAGCCUGGAUGUAUUCAUUGCUGAGGGAUUAAAAAUCUAAUUUUUCAUUCUCUUGGCUAGCGUUAGUUGCUUCUAUUUAUUUCCUACACAUUGUUCAGAUUUUAACUCAAUCCUUUCUUCUCAUAAAACACAAGUUCUUAAAGUAACGAGGCAUCGACCUUCCACUCUCGGGUACCAACUAUGUAUGCGGCGCUGUGCUCUGCCCUGAUGGAUGACAAAGGAUGUUUUGCCACGUGACCUCAAAGGACAAACGUUGAAUGGUCUUUUUCUACAGACGCUGUAUCCUUCUUAAUAAAGAUGUGAUUUCAGCAGGUAUAUGAUUGUUGGUUUCUACAAAACAUCAGACCGACCUGCAUACUUUUAAGAAGUUGCAAGGGAAACAUAAUCAGCCAUCACACAUACCACCGUGAUUCAUUUCCCACAUUUGAGGUCUUCUUAUUCCACUGUCUCCCGAGUAUGAACAGCCAAGGAUGAAGAAGCAGAGAGAAUUAUUUUUGUGGGGCUGCGCAUGGCUAAACCCAUGGGGGUUUACAUCCCCAGAUCCAUUCCAUCUCCGGUGAGGCGUUUAAUCCAAUCACGCCAGUUCCAUUCAUCGUGCCCAGUUGACCAGGAAGGGGUCUGAGACUUGAUUCCGGCCAGUGAGACUUGAAGAAAAGCCUGCAGAAUCCUGCGGCAGAGAGAGUGUGUCCUCCCUGUUUCUGGAAGUGGCCCCGUGUGUGUUUGGUGGGCGGUCUCCUAACAAAGUACCAGACCAUGUGGCUUAACCGAUGGAAAUGCAUUGUCUCACAAUUCUGGGGCCCAAGAUCAAGUUGCUGGUAGACUUGGUUUCUUCUGAGCUCUCUCUCCUGGGCUGGUGGAUGGUGAUCUUCGCUCUGUGUCUGGAUGUUGUCGUUUGCUAUGGGUCAAUGUGUUCCCAUCUCCUCUUCUUAUAAGGAUGCUAGUCGGACCGGACCCACUCUAAUGACCUCCUUCUGCCUUAUUUAUCUCUUUAAAGACCCAAUCUCCAGAUACAGCUAUAUGCAGAAGCAUAAGAAUCUGGAGGACACAGUUCCGCCCACACCCUGCAUCUGGCACGAUGCCUGGAAUGCCUGUGGCCGCCGUGCUGCGGACCCAGGAUGAGUUCAGCCCAGCCCCCCCAUGUGAGCCUGAGAGCCUGCGGCCCCAGCUGCCGACACUGCUCACCCUGAAAGUCGUGAAAUGACAAGUGCCCUUAUUGUUAAUCCCGGUGGAAUUGGGAUUUUCAAAAGCAUCCUAAUGGAGGGACAUAAAACCUGAAAAGUGAAGAUUGGGCCGACGGCAACGGGGUCUGCAGGGCUCCUCUGAAGGGACAAGAGGAGCCGAGUUUGCUUCUUUCUCUUUUGGAGGCUUGAUGCCGUGUCCCAGCUUGUGAGCAUGCGCACACAUGGCUGAUGGUCUCCCCACCACUACUCCCUGGCUCCCAGGUGGGCCCUCGAGUCCCCACCUCCAUCCUCAGCCACAGACAGUGUCCCCCAGGCCUGGCUCUGGGCAGACAAGAACCUUGGCCUGUCCCUUGCAAAUCACUUUCGCUGUGCUGUGCCAAGUGAAUUGAAUUCUGCCACUUCCUCUUUUUCCUGCCAGGCAUCGUCCAACAGAGGAAUAAGCGGAGACAGAGAGGAGUUCUCAGCCCCACAAAGCAGAGAUUCUGGGCAUUUUCAAUACACAGAGCUGUGGUGUAAGCAAGACUCUGCCAUAGAGAGAAAUCAUAAAAUGAGCGUAGGCUGUUCCCAAAGCAUGAGGUGGGGAUGUCUGGGGUUCAGGGGAGGACCCUAGAGCCAGUGUGUCUGUCCUCUUCUUCCCACCAGAGUCUGGGGCGGCCGAUGGGGGCAGGGAAAUGAGGUCUCCUUUGCAUCCUCUGGCCGCGCCCAGAAUCCCAGUCUGCCCCGUCCCUCCCCCCAGACGGCCAUUCUCAAGUUCAUGCCAGCCAAACGUCCCUGGGUGGCUGCCGGCUCCCCGGGGGAGGGAUUCCAGCCGUGGGAAGAGCACAGCUCCAAGGACAUCAUGUUACUCCCACUGAAACAGUGUCAGGAAGCAGGAGGGAGGGGACCGGGGAACAGGGAACGUACAGGGAGGCCUGGGACUGUGCUGGGACAAUCUGGGCCCUGCAGAUGCUCCCGACGAUAAGUGUUCUCAAGUCUUUCCGGGACGGGGCCUCCUGGGCUGUCUGCAGCACCCCGGCCACCCGGUCAGUCUCUCCCAGCACUGCUGCUUCACCUCCUCUUGGCACCCCCCUCCCCCAGGGGUCCCAGCCACGCUGUGACUUGGGAGGAGAGCCCUGUGGUGGCUGCUGGCCUUGGACAGCAGAGCCUGGGUUUGGGGAGAAGUUCUAGUUCAGAACUUGGAAUCUGGAUUUUCUGCUAAUCAGAGGCCUUUUCCUCUGGCUGCAUAAUAACACUGUUUUGGUUGCUAAGGAACCCUGUUUUAAUUGCACAUGGGCUUGAGUGGCUCUAGGAUGAUAAUUCUCCACGCAGAUGUCUGGAGAAUAGCACAGCGCUGAAGUGACAAUUGGGCCAUUCCUCACCAAGGGCAUGUCACACUGCACGAGAGUUUCCUUACCGGGUACCGAGGCGCUGAUUUUUGAGAGCAAAAGCAGGAUUCCCUUCCCGGGUCUGACGCCUGGCCUGCAGCGCAGCGAGUGAUCAGCUUUGUUUUAUAGGCUGAUAGUUUGCGGGCUAUUAGCCUGACUGAACGGUUCUCCUAAUGAUCAGAUCAUUAUAACGGUGUAUUAGUUUGACACAAGGUAAUGAAAUAUUGUUACCUCCGACAGACUGGCUGUCUAUGUGGGCCGUAUCUCUCCCUUUCUGCUGAAGAGAGGCCUCCUUGGUUUUCUUUUGUAGUAAAAAUGGCAUCUGAUGGAAGAUCUCUUUGGCGAAAGGACUCGAGAAUCAUUUAAGAGUAAAGUUUAUUAUUGCGAAGGGUAACUGCUUUUUCUGUUUUGUUUUUCGUGAUGGAAAGGACAUUGUUGAGCUGAGUCUCUAAGGGAAGAGGACAGAAGCUGGCAAAUCAUUCCAGCGCUGCAAGUCCUCAUAAAAUCAAUGUGCUCUUUUACUUUAGACACAGAGGAGGGUCCUGGGUUGUUUGCCAGGCAAUUUCCCAGCACAUGGAGACCCUGGCACAAGGUGGGGUUCACAUCUGUUGGCGAGGAGGUCAGAUACAGGCCUGGGUGGGUUGAAGCUGCCGAUUGGGGCGACACGUCAGCAGGUGCUUUGUUUUUCACGCCGAUGGGCUGGUUUUAGUGGGAAAACACGCGACCCGAAUAACAUCCAAGUAGUUGAAUGUUGGGCUUUGAAAAAUCUUUUAGAGGAGAGAGAAUUUGCGUUGUUUUCUUUUUCAAAAAGAGUCGCUUUCGCCUCCCUGUUCUGCGGGCAGGUGGUGUUCCAUCUGCAACAGCCAGGGUUCUUGAAGUGCAAGCGGCAGCUACGCUGCUGACCUUAAUCCGAAAAGGAGUUUAUUAAAAUGAUACUGAGCAGUAAAUAUAUCUAAAAACACCAUUUGAACAACCAGAGAUUUAGAAGAGCUGGCAUGAGGGCACCUCCGGGAGAGCUCAUUGGAAUCCGGUGGCUUCAGCCAUUCCCUGUGUUUUUAUUACUUUGAGAUUCAAAUGUCAGCAAUUCAAUUGUUCAAUUGCCCUAAGCUUCAGCUCCAGAAUUCUGAUGUUGGAGGGGCUUCUGUACCGUAACACCCACACUGCUUGUGGUGAUUUUAUAAAUGGGCCUUCAAGGGGGCUGGUGGAAGAUCUUGGGGUGACCUCCGAGUCAUUUUCGGGUGCCAAUGACAGCAGAGGACACCUUGACUGACCCGCAAGCCCGGGGAAAAGAAAACAAUAGACUCUCUCCAUCCCACCUUUCUUAAGCACAUCAUUGGUCGAUUCUCUGACUUGAGUCUCUAGACGGUUUCUGGAGCCUAACUUUAAAACUGUUCCUUCCGAUACCGAACCCAAGGUCGCUCUGCUCACCACACGACAAGCGCAUAAAUUCAGAGACAGGUUGUUGGGACAAGGAAUAGUGACGUUAAUUGGAACGCAAGCAGACUGAGAAUCUGGCAGACUAGUGUCUCAAAAAACCGUCUUGCCUCAGUCCGAAUUCAGACUCCUUUUAUACAGAGGGGAUGGAGGGGAGAGGCCAGCGGUCACUCACUAACUGUCACGUGCUUGGGGAAGGGUCCACUGCAAUGCAGACCUGUGCUGAGCAGAACAAAGGUCAUUCACCACUGGUUACUUGCUUACACUUCUUUCUAGAGCAGCACCUGCUAUCCCCAAGGCCACACAGUAGGUCAACUGCUCAACCCAUUUCUAGCCUCCUUCUUUGUGCUGGCAGAGGUCAUUUC